AUUGAACGCUGGCGGCAUGCCUUACACAUGCAAGUCGAACGGUAACAGGCCGCAAGGUGCUGACGAGUGGCGAACGGGUGAGUAAUGCAUCGGAACGUGCCCAGUCGUGGGGGAUAACUGCUCGAAAGAGCAGCUAAUACCGCAUACGACCUGAGGGUGAAAGCGGGGGACCGUAAGGCCUCGCGCGAUUGGAGCGGCCGAUGUCAGAUUAGCUAGUUGGUGGGGUAAAGGCCUACCAAGGCAACGAUCUGUAGUUGGUCUGAGAGGACGACCAGCCACACUGGGACUGAGACACGGCCCAGACUCCUACGGGAGGCAGCAGUGGGGAAUUUUGGACAAUGGGCGCAAGCCUGAUCCAGCAAUGCCGCGUGCAGGAAGAAGGCCCUCGGGUUGUAAAGCUCUUUUGUCCGGAAAGAAAAGCAUCCAGUUAAUACCCGGGUGUCCUGACGGUACCGGAAGAAUAAGCACCGGCUAACUUCGUGCCAGCCGCCGCGGUAAUAC
rnacentral:rRNA from 1 species